UUCCACAGCUACUGGUCUGCAGCUGCUCUUCCGGUAGCAGUUGUAGCAUUCCUCUGUGGAAAAGAAACUGUCACACCUCUUCAGUACCUCUUUCUUAGCACGACAGAAAGUGGGCAUGUGAGUGACAAACAGAU
ensembl:snoRNA small nucleolar RNA, H/ACA box 41